GCCGGGGUGGUGGAAUUGGUAGACACGCAAGCUUCAGGUGUUUGUGGGGGUAACCCCGUGGAGGUUCAAGUCCUCUCCUCGGUA
rnacentral:tRNA from 1 species